GGAGGGAUUGCCAAGCCUGGUCAAAGGCGUCGGACUUAAGAUCCGAUCCGGUAGCGGUUCGAGGGUUCAAAUCCCUUUCCCUCCAC
rnacentral:tRNA from 1 species